UACAGAGGGUGCGAGCGUUGUCCGGAAUCACUGGGCGUAAAGAGCUCGUAGGCGGUUUGUCGCGUCUGCCGUGAAAGUCCGGGGCUCAACUCCGGAUCUGCGGUGGGUACGGGCAGACUAGAGUGAUGUAGGGGGAGACUGGAAUUCCUGGUGUAGCGGUGAAAUGCGCAGAUAUCAGGAGGAACACCGAUGGCGAAGGCAGGUCUCUGGGCAUUAACUGACGCUGAGGAGCGAAAGCAUGGGGAGCGAACAGG
rnacentral:rRNA from 1 species